GAUGAACGCUGGCGGCGUGCCUAAUACAUGCAAGUCGAGCGAACGGACGAGAAGCUUGCUUCUCUGAUGUUAGCGGCGGACGGGUGAGUAACACGUGGAUAACCUACCUAUAAGACUGGGAUAACUUCGGGAAACCGGAGCUAAUACCGGAUAAUAUUUUGAACCGCAUGGUUCAAUAGUGAAAGACGGUCUUGCUGUCACUUAUAGAUGGAUCCGCGCUGCAUUAGCUAGUUGGUAAGGUAACGGCUUACCAAGGCAACGAUGCAUAGCCGACCUGAGAGGGUGAUCGGCCACACUGGAACUGGGACACGGUCCAGACUCCUACGGGAGGCAGCAGUAGGGAAUCUUCCGCAAUGGGCGAAAGCCUGACGGAGCAACGCCGCGUGAGUGAUGAAGGUCUUCGGAUCGUAAAACUCUGUUAUUAGGGAAGAACAUAUGUGUAAGUAACUGUGCACAUCUUGACGGUACCUAAUCAGAAAGCCACGGCUAACUACGUG
rnacentral:rRNA from 1 species